rnacentral:lncRNA from 1 species
GUCGGGGUCGGGAUCCCGGAGUGUGGCAAAGUGGUGUGUGUGUGAGAGGGGGACUGGUAGCCAGAUUCCCCAAGCGAGAGAGGACCCUCAGUAGUGCGGUUCCCAUUAGCCCACGAGGGCGUGGGCCAUAAACCAGGGGAAGUGAAAGAGGCUGUGUGAUUUGAAGGCACUCCGGAAGAAUGGGGCAGGGGAAGAGCAAGCACCCUGUAUCUAUUAAACUCCCACCGGUACCUAGAGAUAGUCCGUUGGGUUUUAUACUAGAUAAUUAGAAACAUUUCCCGGGAACAGAAAAUAAAGAUAGGGCAAAAAUGAUUCACUAUUGUGUAGAAGUAUGGGGAGGAAAGGAAAUUUCAAAGAAUGUAUUUUGGCCUAUAUUUGGAUCAACCGAAGAUUGGGUUAAACAAAAAUUAAAUUCCUGGGUAAAUAAAAAGAUCCCCUUUAGCUCAGAGGAAAGUGCUUAUGCAGAGAUCUGGGUAGUAAAUCCCGAGGUUUUUAUAUUUGAGCUGACACAGAACUCGGGGGAGGGGAAGGGAAAGAAAAAGAAACCCCAAAAAGAAGACACUUUGAUAAUACCCCCCCCUCCAUUUGUACCACCACCACCACCACGAGCCCCUCCCCCUCCAAACCCCGAGGAGGAGGAUUUAGACAUGCCAGAGGUGGGGCCUGUUACCAGGAAUAGAUCCAGAAGGAAACAGGAGAACCUAUUCCCGUUAAGAGAGAUGCCAAUGGGUGGCCCCCAAGCUGGAAUAGGGUUUAUAUCUGUCCCUCUUAGUUCGGGGGAUGUUAGAGACUUCAAAAAGGAAAUGGGGCAUUUGCUGGAAGAUCCAUUGGGGGUUGCAGAAAGAGUUGAUCAAUUCUUAGGACCCAAUAUGUACACAUGGGAGGAAUUACAAUCUAUCCUGAAUAUUUUAUUUACGGCAGAAGAGAAAAACAUGAUUAGAAGGGAAGGAAUGCACAUUUGGGAUGCUCAGCAUGUCCAGGGACCACUGGCAGAUGUAAAGUGGCCCCUCCAAAAUCCCCAUUGGGAUCACCAAAAUCCAGCGCACAGAGU